GAAGCUGUGCCUGAACAAGAAGUUACGGAGGAGCGCGGGACGCUGAAGCGACUGCGGAAUGCUACUCGCCGGGAACUAGGUUGCUUUUCUCAAGUCAAGACGGGGAUUUGUUCGCAUAGCUAUGGAGAAGGGAUGUGAUACAGUGCCAGCUUUCGGCUUUUGUUAGGUAUACAUUUUUGCCCUGUCUUCUCAUCUCAGUCUGCACUAUUAAAUUUUAAUACUUCAUGAUUGUCAAAGAGACAUCUGUUAUAUGGUCUUCACCUUCCUAUUCAGUUCUACAUUCAUUGAUGCUAAUUUUUGGAUCGCAAAUUGCUUUAGACUGAAGUCAAUAAAUGGUGGAAGCCUAAUAACAAUUUGUUCCUGCGAAUUGGUAUGGUUCAAAAAUCCCAUUACUUUUGCAAGAUUUAAUUUGCAUUAUAUUUAGUGAUGUAUUCUCUUUUUUCAUAUCCUUUUCACCAGAAAUUAAAUAUUACUAUAACUAGGCAUCAUCACAUUUGAUAGAUGUAGUGCAUUUGGUAAAAGAAUUCAUCAAGUAUCAAGUUGCUUAUUCUAAACUGAGAAUAGUUCAUUAUUUUCUUUGAUGCUGGCCUCAUUUGUGCAUUCUUAAGACCUUAUGUAUACAUAUACGCAGGAUCACACAGUGUAAUUUUUUCCCUUUUUCCUCAACUUGUUCUCUUGUGUGUAGCUGUUGCUAACUUUCUUACAUCAUUGUUUCAUAUCUCAUCUACCUUUCUGCAAACCAAUACAUGUGGUGGUUGGUAAACCAAUUAUGUUUAAAAAGAAUCCGCAACUCACUCCGGAAGAGGUAUGUUCACAGGUUAUCUAUCACCAACAUAUUGGAAUCUGGUUUUGGAUAGCUAUAACAUAAAAGUCAAUAGAAUAAUAUUAAGACCAUGAGAACAUAUUAUCAAGUGGUAUAUUUGUUCUAAUGACUAGAGUGAUAGACUUGAGAAAUGAAGGGCAAAACUAACAACUUAUUCUUGCAUUAGAUACACCUACAAAGGACUACAUAUGAUAGCCAAAGUAGCAAAGAGCCAACGGAACAUGAACUUGUACUCUCUGGGAAUUCAAGAAAAG